rnacentral:lncRNA from 1 species
GACGUUGGCCAUGCCAACGUUGGUCAACCCAACGCCGGCGUUGGCCACCGCGGUGACGCCGCCGCUGGCCGCGUCGUUGACGCCCCCCAUGGGGACGUUGACGUUGGGCACGGCGGCGCCGCCGCCGCCGCCGGCCGCGUUUUCGGCCGGCGCGAAGGCGAUUUGGCGCCGGAUGCCGUCGCGGCGCUCGUGGAAAUCGGCGAUUUCGGCCACGAUGGCCGCCUUGAUCUCUUCUUUGGUCAACACCCGGCGGUCAAAGGCGAAAUCGAAGGCGGGGACGCACUCGGGCUCGUCCUCGGGGUCGUGAUAUUUGGCCAAAAAAGGGUGCCGCAAGGCCUCGGCCACCCCCACCCUCUCCCGGGGGUCGAAACGCAGCAUCCUCCCCAACAACGCCAAGGCCGCCGGCUCGGCGUCGCCGAAAAGACUCUCCCACGGCACCGCCGGGCGCGGGGGCAAGCUCUGCACGUAGGCCCUCACCCUCUCGGCCCCGAUGGCGGCCAUGACGGUGGCCGGCGGCGUCCCCAGCACGGCCAUGAUGAGCUGGAGCUGGUGGACGUAGUUCCUCCCGGGGAAAAGUUGCCGGCGGCCCAACAUUUCGGCAAAGAUGCAGCCCACCGACCACAUAUCGAUGGCGCGGGUGUAACGGUGCAAGGAGAGGAGGAGUUCGGGCGCCCGGUACCAGCGGGUGGCGACGUAUUCGGUGAGGAAGGCCUUGGCGUGGCGGGGGUCGGCGCCCAAGCCGCGGGCCAUGCCGAAAUCGCCGAUUUUCAGCUCGCAGUUCUCGUUGACCAAGAGGUUGCUGGGCUUGAGGUCGCGGUGGAGGACGUUGGCCGAGUGGAUGUACUUGAGGCCCCGCAGGAGUUGGUAGAGGAAGUAGCGGACGUGCUCCAAGGUCAAGGGUUGGGAGGAGUGGAUGAUCUGGUGGAGGUCGCUCUCCAUCAGGUCCAGGACCACGUAGCUGCCGGGGGAGAAAGAAGGGGGGCCGGGGUGGCCCGGGGAGGGGGGU